GAUGAACGCUAGCGGCAGGCCUAACACAUGCAAGUCGAGGGAGAAGCCCUUCGGGGCAGAAACCGGCGCACGGGUGCGUAACGCGUAUGCAACCUACCUUUCACAGGGGGAUAGCCCGAAGAAAUUUGGAUUAAUACCCCAUAAUAUUAUUGGGUGGCAUCAUUUGAUAAUUAAAAUUACGAUGGUGAAAGAUGGGCAUGCGUCCUAUUAGCUAGUUGGAGUGGUAACGGCACCCCAAGACUACGAUAGGUAGGGGUCCUGAGAGGGAGAUCCCCCACACUGGUACUGAGACAGGGACCAGACUCCUACGGGAGGCAGCAGUGAGGAAUAUUGGUCAAUGGUCGGAAGACUGAACCAGCCAUGCCGCGUGCAGGAAGAAUGCCUUAUGGGUUGUAAACUGCUUUUAUAUGGGAAGAAUAAGGAGUACGUGUACUUUGAUGACGUACCAUAUGAUAAGC
rnacentral:rRNA from 1 species